rnacentral:rRNA from 1 species
GACGAACGCUGGCUGCGUGCCUAAUACAUGCAAGUAGAACGCAGUUGCGAACGGGUGAGUAACGCGUAGGUAACUGCCUGAUAGCGGGGGAUAACUAUUGGAAACGAUAGCUAAUACCCCAUACUACCAGAUAGACCUGCGUUGUAUUAGCUAGUUGGGGAGGUAACGGCUCACCAAGGCAACGAUACAUAGCCGACCUGGGAGGUGGAGCGUCCACACGGGGACCGCGAUACGGCCCAGACUCAUACGGCAGGCAGCAGUAGGGAAUCUUCGGCAAUGGGGGGAACCCUGACCGAGCAACGCCGCGGGAGUGAAGAAGGUUUUCGGAUCGUAAAGCUCUGUUGUUAAGGAAGCGGGACUUAACCAGAAAGGGACGUCUAACUACGUGCCAGCAGCCGCGGUAAUUC